UAUAACUAUACCAGUAUUGGGUGGUUUUUUGGUCGCUGCAGCAGUGGUGAUCUUCAUCAUCUGCCGUAAGAGACGAGGCACCUUCUACCCGGCAACAUCACGGACCAUCACCGAUACCCGGACCGUCCCCACCACAACAGUUUCAGAGAGGAACCAUCCUGUAUCUUAUGUAGCAGCAGCAGAACAAGCAGAGAUUUGACUGAACAGGAUUGCAGGCUCUACAGAAGCCCGGGAUGGUGUAAAUAGUGGCACAGACCAAAUCUCAAGUGAAGCAAGAGGAGAGCGUUCAGUGUGAUCCCCAGACACACCAACAUGACUGAGGACACGUCAUGAAUCAUCUUCAGUUCACAUUCACAGCAGAACUGAACAUAAUUACAGAGACUUUUCUACCCACCUUCCCUAAUGUUGGUGUUACAUGACAGCACAUAUAAACCCAAGAUAUUUUGUCUGGUCAACUUCAUUUCAACUGUUAACACACAUAUACAGUGUAUCACAAAAGAGGUGUAACAGGGUAUGAGUGGGUGUGGGUGGUAUGACUGACUACACAGAUGUUCAGAGUUUGGACUGGUGUGAGCCAACAGCGUCAUGUGACCAAAAAGUGUCCACUGAUAGAGGAAGACAAGAUGAAGAUUAACAG